ACAGAGGUCCCAAGCGUUGUUCGGAUUCACUGGGCGUAAAGGGUGCGUAGGCGGUUUGAUAAGUCUGAUGUGAAAUCCCGCAGCUUAACUGCGGAACUGCAUUGGAAACUGUUUGACUAGAGGAAUGGAGGGGAGACUGGAAUACUUGGUGUAGCAGUGAAAUGCGUAGAUAUCAAGUGGAACACCAGUGGCGAAGGCGAGUCUCUGGACAUUUCCUGACGCUGAGGCACGAAAGCCAGGGGAGCAAACGGGAUUAGAUACCCCGGUAGUCCUGGCCCUAAACGGUGCGCGUUUGCUGUGAGCGGAAUCGACCCCGCUCGUGGCGAAGUUAACACAUUAAACGCGCCGCCUGGGAAGUACGGCCGCAAGGUUA
rnacentral:rRNA from 1 species